rnacentral:rRNA from 1 species
GAUGAACGCUGGCGGCGUGCCUAAUACAUGCAAGUCGAGCGAACAGACGAGGAGCUUGCUCCUUUGACGUUAGCGGCGGACGGGUGAGUAACACGUGGAUAACCUACCUAUAAGACUGGGAUAACUUCGGGAAACCGGAGCUAAUACCGGAUAACAUGUUGAACCGCAUGGUUCAACAGUGAAAGACGGUCUUGCUGUCACUUAUAGAUGGACCCGCGCCGCAUUAGCUAGUUGGUAAGGUAACGGCUUACCAAGGCAACGAUGCGUAGCCGACCUGAGAGGGUGAUCGGCCACACUGGAACUGAGACACGGUCCAGACACCUACGGGAGGCAGCAGUAGGGAAUCUUCCGCAAUGGGCGAAAGCCUGACGGAGCAACGCCGCGUGAGUGAAGAAGGUCUUCGGAUCGUAGAACUCUGCUAUUAGGGAAGAACAAAUGUGUAAGUAACUAUGCACGUCUUGACGGUACCUAAUCAGAAAGCCACGGCUAACUACGUGCCAGCAGCCGCGGUAAUACGUAGGUGGCAAGCGUUAUCCGGAAUUAUUGGGCGUAAAGCGCGCGUAGGCGGUUUUUUAAGUCUGAUGUGAAAGCCCACGGCUCAACCGUGGAGGGUCAUUGGAAACUGGAAAACUUGAGUGCAGAAGAGGAAAGUGGAAUUCCAUGUGUAGCGGUGAAAUGCGCAGAGAUAUGGAGGAACACCAGUGGCGAAGGCGACUUUCUGGUCUGUAACUGACGCUGAUGUGCGAAAGCGUGGGGAUCAAACAGGAUUAGAUACCCUGGUAGUCCACGCCGUAAACGAUGAGUGCUAAGUGUUAGGGGGUUUCCGCCCCUUAGUGCUGCAGCUAACGCAUUAAGCACUCCGCCUGGGGAGUACGACCGCAAGGUUGAAACUCAAAGGAAUUGACGGGGACCCGCACAAGCGGUGGAGCAUGUGGUUUAAUUCGAAGCAACGCGAAGAACCUUACCAAAUCUUGACAUCCUCUGACCCCUCUAGAGAUAGAGUUUUCCCCUUCGGGGGACAGAGUGACAGGUGGUGCAUGGUUGUUGUCAGCUCGUGUCGUGAGAUGUUGGGUUAAGUCCCGCAACGAGCGCAACCCUUAAGCUUAGUUGCCAUCAUUAAGUUGGGCACUCUAAGUUGACUGCCGGUGACAAACCGGAGGAAGGUGGGGAUGACGUCAAAUCAUCAUGCCCCUUAUGAUUUGGGCUACACACGUGCUACAAUGGACAAUACAAAGGGUAGCGAAACCGCGAGGUCAAGCAAAUCCCAUAAAGUUGUUCUCAGUUCGGAUUGUAGUCUGCAACUCGACUACAUGAAGCUGGAAUCGCUAGUAAUCGUAGAUCAGCAUGCUACGGUGAAUACGUUCCCGGGUCU